GCCCCUUUAGUGCAGUGGUUAGCACGUUCUGUAACUGAUGUCUUGCAAACACAAGCAGAGUAAGUCGGAGACGGCCAGAUCACGAAGGUCUGGUAUACGGUCGUCGGAAUCGGAAAAGCGCGAGUUCGAUUCUCGCAGGGGGCA
rnacentral:tRNA from 1 species